UACGAUGUCGUGCACGGCCCGGAAAUGCAUAGGUACCCAUGGCUUCUCCUCUCCCAAAUACCGCACCAAUAUAAAAUAAGUGAAUAUGUGUGCCUUCUUUUCAAUUUUCUGUUUUACAAUGGCAAAAUGUUCUGCUGGAAACAGGCCAGAUGAUCCAUGACGAAUGGAAGAAUGAUGACGUCCACUUAAUUGGUGGCCAUAUUCUCAAAAAGAUUCACUCAAUCUCUCAAAUUUUCAGGAGCUUGCAGUUCAGAGAGAUGCCAAUGAAGUUGCUCAACGGUAUGCGAAGGAAGGUUUAUCCAUUGUAUCGGGUGUAUCCUCUUAUGAUGUAAUCUCCGACUUAUUGAUUGCCCCUGUUCAAUCUGAUAUUGUCCGCCUAUAUGAUGAAUAAACAGUUUGUCU
rnacentral:lncRNA from 1 species